rnacentral:rRNA from 1 species
CACGAACGCUGGCGGCAGGCUUAACACAUGCAAGUCGAGCGCGAAAGGCCUUCGGGCUGAGUAGAGCGGCGGACGGGUGAGUAACGCGUAGGAAUCUACCUGGUAGUGGGGGACAACUUGGGGAAACUCAAGCUAAUACCGCAUACGCCCCAUGCGGGAAAGCGGGGGACCUUCGGGCCUCGCGCUAUCAGAUGAGCCUGCGUAGGAUUAGCUAGUUGGUGAGGUAAAGGCUCACCAAGGCGACGAUCCUUAGCUGGUCUGAGAGGAUGAUCAGCCACACUGGGACUGAGACACGGCCCAGACUCCUACGGGAGGCAGCAGUGGGGAAUAUUGCGCAAUGGGGGCAACCCUGACGCAGCCAUGCCGCGUGUGUGAAGAAGGCCUUCGGGUUGUAAAGCACUUUAAGUGGGGAGAAAGGCCCGUUGGUUAAUAGCCAGCGGGAUUGAUGUUACCCACAGAAUAAGCACCGGCUAACUCCGUGCCAGCCGCCGCGGUAAGAC